UACGAAGGGGGCUAGCGUUGUUCGGAAUUACUGGGCGUAAAGCGUAGGUAGGCGGGUCGAUAAGUCAGGGGUGAAAUCCCGGAGCUCAACUUCGGAACUGCCUUUGAUACUGUCGGCCUAGAGUCCGGAAGAGGUGAGUGGAAUUCCCAGUGUAGAGGUGAAAUUCGUAGAUAUUGGGAAGAACACCAGUGGCGAAGGCGGCUCACUGGUCCGGUACUGACGCUGAGCUACGAAAGCGUGGGGAGCAAACAGG
rnacentral:rRNA from 1 species